CCCGCUGAACUUAAGCAUAUCAAUAAGCGGAGGAAAAGAAACCAACAGGGAUUACCCUAGUAACGGCGAGUGAAGCGGUAACAGCUCAAAUUUGAAAUCUGACCUUCACGGGUCCGAGUUGUAAUUUGUAGAGGAUGUUUCGGAUAAGGCUUUGGUUUAAGUUUCUUGGAACAGAACGUCAUAGAGGGUGAGAGUCCCGUCUAGAGCCGAUAGCCGCGUCCAUGUGAAACUCCUUCGACGAGUCGAGUUGUUUGGGAAUGCAGCUCAAAAUGGGUGGUAAAUUUCAUUUAAAGCUAAAUAUUGGCCAGAGACCGAUAGCGCACAAGUAGAGUGAUCGAAAGAUGAAAAGUACUUUGAAAAGAGAGUUAAACAGUAUGUGAAAUUGUUGAAAGGGAAGCGCUUGCAACCAGACUUGUGUGUGGCGGCUCCCCCUGUCUUCUGACGGGGUUAUUCUGCUAUAACCAGGCCAGCAUCGAUUUAGGCGGCCAGUUAAAGGCUCUGGGAAGGUAUCUACCUUCGGGUCGACUUACAGCCCCGGGUGUAAUGUGGCCUGCUUGGAUCGAGGAACGCGCUCUUGCCCGGAUGUUGGCGUAAUGGUUGCAAGCGGCCCGUCUUGAAACACGG
rnacentral:rRNA from 1 species